GAUGAACGCUAGCGGCAGGCUUAAUACAUGCAAGUCGUGGGGCAGCAUGAGUAGCAAUACUUGAUGGCGACCGGCAAACGGGUGCGGAACACGUACACAACCUUCCGAUAAGUGGGGAAUAGCCCAGAGAAAUUUGGAUUAAUACCCCGUAACAUAUAGAGUAGGCAUCUUCUUUAUAUUAUAGCUUCGGCGCUUAUUGAUGGGUGUGCGUCUGAUUAGGUAGUUGGCGGGGUAACGGCCAACCAAGCCUACGAUCAGUAGCUGAUGUGAGAGCAGGAUCAGCCAAACGGGCACUGAGACACGGGCCCGAGUCCUACGGGAGGCAGCAGUAAGGAAUAUUGGACAAUGGGCGAAAGCCUGAUCCAGCCAUGCCGCGUGAAGGAUUAAGGUCCUCUGGAUUGUAAACUUCUUUUAUUUGGGACGAAAAAAGGGAAUUCUUUCCCACUUGACGGUACCAAGUGAAUAAGCACCGGCUAACUCCGUGCCAGCAGCCGCGGUAA
rnacentral:rRNA from 1 species